GAGACUUUACUUUCAGGGAUCACUUCUAUAGUUCAUUACUAGAGAAAUUUCCCUGAACGUCUAGAGCACCGGAAUCCAGGAGGAGGAGACAUACAGGGCGUUCUCUCCCGAGCGUGAAGCCAGCUCUUGGGGUUGCUCUGCUGCCACUGCCACCUGCAACUGAUGGUGGUUCUUUUCUCCCUUUGCGGGAGUAAGAGGGCGAGGACACAGUGUGAGUGGU